GUACAGCUGACGAGUCCCGAAUAGGACGAAAUGCGCAUCCUGGAU
rnacentral:hammerhead_ribozyme from 1 species